rnacentral:misc_RNA from 1 species
GUUGAAGCAAGCACGAGCGUUGAGGUCGAAAGUUUUUUCUCGUCGUAUUUCGGAACGGUAAACCCUUUACUGACAAUGCCUUUGUUACCAGAAACAACGUCGCGAACGACUACAUCAACUUUGUACGUGCCCGGUGUUAAUGCGACUGCCGUUUGAUAAACCGAUUUACGAUCUUUUGCUUCGGCUAGUUCUUCGCCGGUCGCGUUCGUAGUUACCGAAUCUUCAAAAAUGCCCGAACGCUUCCCCGAAACUGCUGUAAUGCGCCCGAACACAUUCAUUUUUGCUGUCGGCAACCCGCCGACGUUUUCAAAAACCAAUUCUUUGUUUUCAGUCUGAACGGUGAAAGUCGCGAUAAUACGAUCUUCCGAUUGUCUGAAGAAAUCAACGC